rnacentral:rRNA from 1 species
AGCAGCCGCGGUAAUUCCAGCUCCAAUAGCGUAUAUUAAAGUUGUUGCAGUUAAAAAGCUCGUAGUUGAAUUUCGGGGUUCUACCGUUGGUCGGGCUUUGUCUGUACUGGCGUGUAGAAUUUCUACCUUCUGGGGAACCAUCAUGUUAUUAAUUUAACGUGGUGGGAAACCAGGACCUUUACCUUGAAAAAAU